GCCAGACCCAGAGGUGCCCCACAUCUGAAAGGCUCCUGGUCAGCUCCAGGGGAGGACAAGGACAGCUCUGAGGGGUUUGGGGUAAUCAGAAUCAUGGGAGAUGGGUCAGCAGGAGGCACUGGGGGCAACAUGGGGUCAUUUGGAAACAUGUGGUGACAUUUCCCCCCUCCUGAGCCAGGGCCUGGGGUGGGCUUCCCAGGAGGAUGGGAGGUAGCAGGGCAGGCCUGCCCAAACACUGGCCCUGUGGGCACAGAGACCCAAGGAGCUCAUUGCACCCACACCCAGAAAUUCUGCUUUUCUAGGAAAACAGCUGCCAAGCAGCAAGUUGCCCAAUGAGGGCAAACACAAUUCCCUCCAGCCAGAGUGAGGAUUUCAGAGCUGAUGUGCUCUCUGUGUCCCUCCUCAGCCUGGGCAAUGCUGCAGCCUUUUCUUUUCCAGAGGAAAUGGGGCAGGAGGGGCACACUGGGAGAGACCUGGACCAUCCCCAUUGCAAUGCCACCUCUGGCUGGGACAUGAUGGAGCUGCUCUCCCUCCAUGCAGACUGCAGAGCCAGAUCACUGUUACCUGUGCUGGAGCCCUGCAGCCCUGGGGAUUGCUGAACACCCACCUGCCUGUGGGAAGUGGUGAAUGAAUUCCUUGUUUUGCUCUGUUUGCAUGCGUGGCUUCUGCUUUCCCUAUUAAACUGGUUUUAUUUCA